CCUACGGGUGGCAGCAGUGAGGAAUAUUGGUCAAUGGGCGUAAGCCUGAACCAGCCAAGUCGCGUGAGGGAUGAAGGUUCUAUGGAUCGUAAACCUCUUUUAUAAGGGAAUAAAGUGUGGUACGUGUGCUGUUUUGUAUGUACCUUAUGAAUAAGGAUCGGCUAACUCCGUGCCAGCAGCAGCGGUAAUCCGGAGGGUCCGAGCGUUAUCCGGAUUUAUUGGGUUUAAGGGGUGCGUAGGCGGCCGUGUAAGUCAGCGGUGAAAGUCUGUGGCUCAACCAUAGAAUUGCCGUGGAAACUGGGAGGCUGGAGUGUGUGUGAGGCAGGCGGAAUGCGUGGUGUAGCGGUGAAAUGCUUAGAUAUCAGGCAGAACCCCGAUGGCGAAGGCAGCCUGCCAAGCCAUGACUGACGCUGAUGCACGAAAGCGUGGGGAUCAAACAGGAUUAGAUACCCCGGUAGUC
rnacentral:rRNA from 1 species